AAGGUUUUAAGUUAAAAAAACUAAUAAUCUUCAAAAUUAUAUAUAAAGAAAUUUUCUUUAAGCCUUA
rnacentral:tRNA from 1 species